GACGAACGCUGGCGGCGUGCUUAACACAUGCAAGUCGAACGAAGAGCGAUGGAAGCUUGCUUCUAUCAAUCUUAGUGGCGCACGGGUGAGUAACGCGUAAUCAACCUGCCCUUCAGAGGGGGACAACAGUUGGAAACGACUGCUAAUACCGCAUACGAUCUAAUCUCGGCAUCGAGGAUAGAUGAACGGUGGCCUCUACAUGUAAGCUAUCACUGACGGAGGGGUUUGCGUCUGAUUAGCUAGGUGGAGGGGUAACGGCCCACCAAGGCGAUGAUCAGUAGCCGGUCUGAGAGGGUGAACGGCCACAUUGGGACUGGGACACGGCCCAGGCUCCUACGGGAGGCAGCAGUGGGGAAACUUCCGCAAUGGACGAAAGUCUGACGGGGCAACGCCGCGUGAGUGAUGACGGCCUUCGGGUUGUAAAGCUCUGUUAAUCGGGACGAAAGGCCUUCUUGCGAAUAGUGAGAAGGAUUGACGGUACCGGAAUAGAAAGCCACGGCUAACUACGUG
rnacentral:rRNA from 1 species